AUGUUUGGGCAUCGCGCGUGGGUGGUUGCCACCAUCCGCCAUAAUUUCGCGGCUCCCCUCAGCCAGCUUUUGAUGGAAUAUUCCCAGGUAUCUGGUUAUCCUCAGCCAUCUUCGCUCACAAACCAAACGAGUGGUAUCCCCUCUAAAACUGGCUAUCCCUAUUCCCUGGAUGGUUAUCCUUUGAACCAAACGCCACCUACUUCCGAUGAAAUAAAGCUGAUGACCAACAAAGUCACCAAAGCCGACGGCACGCCAAAUUCUGAAUUCAACAUCGCAGCGGAAGAUGAUCUCCAGCCAUCGCAAGGUGUAACCAUGGAUCACGAGUUUCCCAGCAUUUGUGAUGACCCGGAGCCGGAGGAUGCACCGAUACCUGAUCAGCGAGACGAAUCAGCGGAACCACACAAGCCAUGGAGGUUCAUCCCGGUGCCCGAAGGCCACGUCUUUGUGCCGGAAUGCGUCGGCGAUGAGCUCAUAGUGCACAUCCGGCCGUCCUCGCAAAGUGGCUCCGAGCACAGCGCCACCGUUGACGCCGACCAACAGCUCCCCUUCACCUGCGGACAUCCGGAGGCGGGAACGCCGUCCUUUUACGACGGCGGUCCUUACCGCGCGCUGUUCUGGUCGCUGCCCGAGCUUGACGACCAAGGCCCAAAAAACGUCUUGCCGUUACCAUGGUCGCGGUUGGAGAUGUGGGGCAGGCUGACGGCGGCGGCGCUGGAUGGGACUUGGGCCGUAAACCCCCCGAUUAUACACGAACAUGCGUUACCUGAGUCCGUGACGCUCUCCACCGACGUGGUGAUGUUCUACCGGCCGGACCCGGAGGCUGGGGGAACGAAUGUGAUGAUUGCUGCAACCGAGGAUGUGGAGCAUGUGUAUAGCAUGGAGGAACAUGGUACCCCGGCGGUGACCGCUCUCACGCCGCACUCUAUUCUUCCCACGUAUUCUGGUCUUCCCUAG
rnacentral:rRNA from 1 species